GGGGAGGUUGGAAUGCAAUUGAGUUUUCUACAUAGAGCCUGGCCUACAUAUCCCCAAGAUUUCAGGAAAUCAGACUGCUUGUAGUUCGAAUCAAUCGAUAGAAAAGAUAGUCUUUUAUUUCAAACGAUCUUUGGCUCAAGAUGAGUGACAAGUUGAUCGAGUUGUGGAAAAGAGGCUUGUAACCUCUUAACCAUGAAUG
rnacentral:lncRNA from 1 species